UGACCGCUGGCGGCAGGCCUAACACAUGCAAAUCGCACGGUAACAGGAAACAGCUUGCUGUUUCGCUGACGAGUGGCGGACGGGUGAGUAAUGUCUGGGAAACUGCCUGAUGGAGGGGGAUAACUACUGGAAACGGUAGCUAAUACCGCAUAACGUCGCAAGACCAAAGAGGGGGACCCUCGGGCCUCUUGCCAUCGGAUGUGCCCAGAUGGGAUUAGCUUGUUGGUGGGGUAACGGCUCACCAAGGCGACGAUCCCUAGCUGGUCUGAGAGGAUGACCAGCCACACUGGAACUGAGACACGGUCCAGACUCCUACGGGAGGCAGCAGUGGGGAAUAUUGCACAAUGGGCGCAAGCCUGAUGCAGCCAUGCCGCGUGUAUGAAGAAGGCCUUCGGGUUGUAAAGUCCUUUCAGCGGGGAGGAAGGGAGUAAAGUUAAUACCUUUGCUCAUUGACGUUACCCGCAGAAGAAGCACCGGCUAACUCCGUG
rnacentral:rRNA from 1 species